rnacentral:lncRNA from 1 species
AUUUUUUAAUAAUUUAAAGAAAGACAUUUUUGAAAACUAUAUCUAUCUGACAUUUAUUCUCACAAUACAGUGAGAAUAUGGAAAUAAUAACUUGACCAACAUCCAUAGCAGAAUCCAGAAUGGCCUGAUCUCUGGAUUAUGUCAUCUUAGUCAGUUUGGACAUGGGUGUUUAAAGGUGCACAGAGUGGGUUGAGAACAUGAUAUUCAGUUUAUGGAAUACAUAAUAAUGAUAUUCUGCUCCUGGUUUACGGAGUGGAGACUAAUAAGUACAGUGCAGCCAGGUCUCCCCCUAGUAUUGGAGUAGAUCACUGUCUCAGUGGUUGAGCACAAGUGUGCUAGUUUGUUUCUACCUAGGAACUAUGUUUUACCAGAAAAGAAAGAAAGAGGGGCACCUGGGUGGCUCAGGCAGUUAAGUGUCUGCCUGUGGCUCAGGUCAUGAUCUUGAGGUCCAGGGAUCAAGCCCCACCUCGGACUCCCUGCACAGUGGGGAGUCUGCUUCUCCUUCUCCCUCCCCCUCUCUCUCUUUCUGUCAAAUAAAUAAGUAAACUCUUAAAAAAAAUAACUUUGGUAAAAAAAGAAAAGAAGAAGCUGAUACUGUGAGAACUACAGAGAAAGAAGACUGAGAGCCACAGAUUCAAAUUUCAAAUCUAAAGUUCACUCUAAACGAGAUAACUGCACGGUGAUUGGUGAGCGUAUCACUUGCCAACAUUGUUGAAAUUAUUUCCCCCCUUUUUUCUAAAGUUGAAUUUAAUUAAGUUAAAUAAAUCUGUAAUGGGAUUCUAUCAUGCUGAUAUAAUAAUUGUAGGAUACAGGAAGAGAAAACAUUUCCUGGGUUUACUCUUUCUCAUAGAAGACAGGAGUCAAUGUCAGAGGACAGUCUUUUAACUAAUACCACUCUUUAUUAGCUUCCCGGGAUUUGCACAGUACCACAACUAGGUAGCUGAAAACAACAGUAAUUUAUUCCCUCCCAUUUUGAGAUGCUGGAAGUCCAAAAUCAAGGUGUCGGCAGGGCCAUGCUCCUUCUGACGCUCCAGAGAAGAACCCUUUCUUGCUUCUUCCAGCUCGUAAUAGUCCUAGGCAUUCCUUGGCUUUCGGCAACAUAACUCAAUCUCUCUGCCAUCACGUGGCCUUCUUCCCUGAGUAUCUGUGCCUAUGUCCUUUAUCCUUCUUAUGAAGUAGAUUUAGGGUCUAUCCUAAAUUCAGAAUGAUUUCAUCUCAAAAUCCUUAACUAACAACAUUUGCAAAUAUCCUACUUCCAAAUAAGUCACAUGAUGUCAUUCUCGGUAGACAUGCAUUUGGGGGGAAUCCUGACCCUGGUCCUCAUUUUCUGGAAAGCCUCACAUAAAAUAAACAAAACUAUGGCUACACAUAUAGACACACACGCAAAAAUACGCCUAUUACAC